rnacentral:rRNA from 1 species
UACGUAGGGUGCGAGCGUUGUCCGGAAUUACUGGGCGUAAAGAGCUCGUAGGUGGUUUGUCGCGUUGUUCGUGAAAACUCACAACUCAAUUGUGGGCGUGCGGGCGAUACGGGCAGACUGGAGUACUGCAGGGGAGACUGGAAUUCCUGGUGUAGCGGUGGAAUGCGCAGAUAUCAGGAGGAGCACCGGUGGCGAAGGCGGGUCUCUGGGCAGUAACUGACGCUGAGGAGCGAAAGCGUGGGGAGCGAACAGG